rnacentral:rRNA from 1 species
GCCUACGGGGGGCAGCAGUAGGGAAUUUUCGUCAAUGGGCGCAAGCCUGAACGAGCAAUGCCGCGUGAACGAGGAAGGUCUUCGGAUCGUAAAGUUCUGUUGAAGGGGAAAAAGAGCGGAGAGAGGAAAUGGUCUCCGAUUGAUAUUACCCUUCGAGGAAGUCACGGCUAACUACGUGCCAGCAGCCGCGGUAAUACGUAGGUGGCGAGCGUUAUCCGGAAUGAUUGGGCGUAAAGGGUGCGUAGGCGGCCUGCUAAGUCUGGAGUGAAAGGUACCGGCUCAACCGGUACAGGCUCUGGACACUG